GAUGAACGCUGACAGAAUGCUUAACACAUGCAAGUCUACUUGAUCCUUCGGGUGAUGGUGGCGGACGGGUGAGUAACGCGUAAAGAACUUGCCCUGCAGUCUGGGACAACAUUUGGAAACGAAUGCUAAUACCGGAUAUUAUGUGAGUUUCGCAUGAAAUUCAUAUGAAAGCUAUAUGCGCUGCAGGAGAGCUUUGCGUCCUAUUAGCUAGUUGGUGAGGUAACGGCCCACCAAGGCGACGAUCGGUAGCCGGACUGAGAGGUUGAACGGCCACAUUGGGACUGAGACACGGCCCAG
rnacentral:rRNA from 1 species